UCGAAAGUUAUGCUGCACCGGCGCAGUGGGAGUCGCGAUUUUGGUAACUGCGCGCGCACGCACGCACUGCGACGCUUUUGUUUAUUAGAUUCGUCCAUUCAUCCUGCGCGAGAGGGUGGUGGCUGAACCCGCGUCAGUGCAGGAAAGACGAGCCACUGUUCGCAAUGUUAUGAUGUUUGAGUUUGUACUGUGAAUUAUCACUAGAAGCCAUUAAACAAUGG